rnacentral:rRNA from 1 species
GGAGUUAGCCGGUGCUUCUUCUGCGAGUAACGUCACAGAUGUAAGGUAUUAACUUACACCCUUUCCUCCUCGCUGAAAGUGCUUUACAACCCGAAGGCCUUCUUCACACACGCGGCAUGGCUGCAUCAGGGUUUCCCCCAUUGUGCAAUAUUCCCCACUGCUGCCUCCCGUAGGAGUCUGGGCCGUGUCUCAGUCCCAGUGUGGCUGAUCAUCCUCUCAGACCAGCUAGGGAUCGUCGCCUAGGUGAGCCUUUACCUCACCUACUAGCUAAUCCCACCUGGGCUUAUCCAUCAGCGCAAGGCCCGAAGGUCCCCUGCUUUCCCCCGUAGGGCGUAUGCGGUAUUAGCAGUCGUUUCCAACUGUUAUCCCCCACAAAUGGGCAAAUUCCCAGGCAUUACUCACCCGUCCGCCGCUCGUCAUCUUCAAAAGCAAGCUUUUGAAAUGUUACCGCUCGACUUGCAUGUGUUAGGCCUGCCGCCAGCGUUCAAUCUGAGCCAGUAAUCAAACUCUGA